GACGUAGGGCGCGAGCGUUGUCCGGAUUUAUUGGGCGUAAAGAGCUCGUAGGCGGCUCGUUGCGUCGGCUGUGAAAACCCGCAGCUCAACUGCGGGCUUGCGGUCGAUACGGGCAGGCUCGAGUUCGGUAGGGGGAGACUGGAAUUCCUGGUGUAGCGGUGAAAUGCGCAGAUAUCAGGAGGAACACCGGUGGCGAAGGCGGGUCUCUGGGCCGAUACUGACGCUGAGGAGCGAAAGCGUGGGGAGCGAACAGG
rnacentral:rRNA from 1 species